rnacentral:rRNA from 1 species
UACCAGCACCCCGAGUGGUCGGGACGAUUAUUGGGCCUAAAGCAUCCGUAGCCGGUUUUACAAGUCCCCCGUUAAAUCCAGCUGCUUAACAGAUGGGCUGCGGAGGAUACUAUAAGACUAGGAGGCAGGAGAGGCAAGCGGUACUCAGUGGGUAGGGGUAAAAUCCGUUGAUCCAUUGAAGACCACCAGUGGCGAAGGCGGCUUGCCAGAAUGCGCUCGACGUGAGGGAUGAAAGCUGGGGAGCAACCGG